rnacentral:miRNA from 1 species
CUCCGUUCCCGCGGGGGCGGC